GAUGAACGCUGGCGGCGUGCCUAAUACAUGCAAGUCGAGCGAAUGGAUUAAGAGCUUGCUCUUAUGAAGUUAGCGGCGGACGGGUGAGUAACACGUGGGUAACCUGCCCAUAAGACUGGGAUAACUCCGGGAAACCGGGGCUAAUACCGGAUAACAUUUUGAACCGCAUGGUUCGAAAUUGAAAGGCGGCUUCGGCUGUCACUUAUGGAUGGACCCGCGUCGCAUUAGCUAGUUGGUGAGGUAACGGCUCACCAAGGCAACGAUGCGUAGCCGACCGGGGAGGGUGAUCGGCCACACUGGGACUGAGACACGGCCCAGACUCCUACGGGAGGCAGCAGUAGGGAAUCUUCCGCAAUGGACGAAAGUCUGACGGAGCAACGCCGCGUGAGUGAUGAAGGCUUUCGGGUCGUAAAACUCUGUUGUUAGGGAAGAACAAGUGCUAGUUGAAUAAGCUGGCACCUUGACGGUACCUAACCAGAAAGCCACGGCUAACUACGUGCCAGCCGCCGCCGUAA
rnacentral:rRNA from 1 species